rnacentral:rRNA from 1 species
UACGUAGGGUGCGAGCGUUAAUCGGAAUUACUGGGCGUAAAGCGUGCGCAGGCGGUUCGCUGUGUCCUGUGUGAAAUCCCUGGGCUCAACCCAGGAAGUGCACUUGAUACUGCUUGGCUUGAAUAUGGGAGAGGAUAGUGGAAUUCCUGGUGUAGUGGUGAAAUGACGUACGAUAUCAGGAGGAACACCGGUGGCGAAGGCGGUCU